rnacentral:rRNA from 1 species
CACGUAGUUGGCCGGUGCUUCUUCUGCAGGUACCGUCUGAAUUCGUCCCUGCUGAAAGGGGUUUACAACCCGAGGGCCUUCAUCCCCCACGCAGAGUUGCUGCGUCAGGCUUUCGCCCAUUGCGCAAGAUUCCCUA